rnacentral:rRNA from 1 species
UACAGAGGGUGCGAGCGUUAAUCGGAAUUACUGGGCGUAAAGCGUGCGUAGGCGGUGUCUUAAGUUUGUUGUGAAAUCUCCCGGCUUAACCGGGAGGGUGCGGCGAAUACUGAGAUGCUGGAGUGCGGGAGAGGUAAGCGGAAUUCCUGGUGUAGCGGUGAAAUGCGCAGAUAUCAGGAGGAACACCAAUGGCGAAGGCAGCACUCUGGGACGUGACUGACGCUGAGACGCGAAAGCGUGGGGAGCAAACAGG